rnacentral:rRNA from 1 species
GAUUGCCUCAGUAACGGCGAGUGAAGCGGCAACAGCUCAAAUUGAAAUCUGGCCCUAGGCCCGAGUUGUAAUUUGCAGAGGAUGCUUAUGGCGCGGUGCCUUCCAAGUCCCCUGGAGGGGGGCCAUAGAGGGUGAGAGCCCCGUCUGGUUGGCCGCCAAGCCUGUGUGAAGCUCCUUCGACGAGUCGAGUAGUUUGGGAAUGCUGCUCUAAAUGGGAGGUAGACCCCUUCUAAAGCUAAAUACCGGCCAGAGACCGAUAGCGCACAAGUAGAGUGAUCGAAAGAUGAAAAGCACUUUGAAAAGAGGGUUAAACAGUACGUGAAAUUGUUGAAAGGGAAGCGCUUGUGACCAGACGUGCGUCGGGGUGUUCAGCGGGCGUUCUCGCCCGUGCACUCGCCCCGCGCAGGCCCUCUUCGGUUUGGAUGGGGGGACAAAGGCGCCGGGAACGUAGCUCCUCCCGAGUGUUAUAGCCCGGCGUGCCAUGCCCCCGCCUAGACCGAGGUUCGCGUCCG